UGUGCCCAGCGCACCUCAACCUGGAAGGCAUUGCAGUGGGUGCAAGGCAGGACAAGCCCACGGAGCAAGCACUUCGGGUCGGCACUCACCUGCCCAGGAACUGAGAGAUACAAAAAAUUAGCCGGACGUCGUGGCGUGUGCCUGUAAUCCCAGCUACUCAGAAGGCUGAGGCAAGAGAAUCGCUUGAACCUGGGAGGCGGAGGUUGCAGUGAGCCAAGAUAGCGCCAUGGCACUCCAGCUUGGGCAAGAAGAGAAAAACUCCAUCUCCAAAAAAAAAAAGAAAAGAAAAGAAAAGAAAAGAAAAAAAAGAUCUGCAUCCUUUGAGCUCACACCAAUGGAUGAGAAAGAAGCAGGUGAAGGAAUUUAUUGUUAUAUUAUAUUAAAUAAAUAAUAAUAGUAACAGC